rnacentral:rRNA from 1 species
GACGUAGGGCGCGAGCGUUGUCCGGAUUUAUUGGGCGUAAAGAGCUCGUAGGUGGUUUGUCGCGUUGUUCGUGAAAUCCCACGGCUUAACUGUGGGCGUGCGGGCGAUACGGGCAGACUGGAGUACUGCAGGGGAGACUGGAAUUCCUGGUGUAGCGGUGGAAUGCGCAGAUAUCAGGAGGAACACCGGUGGCGAAGGCGGGUCUCUGGGCAGUAACUGACGCUGAGGAGCGAAAGCGUGGGGAGCGAACAGG